rnacentral:rRNA from 1 species
GCGCAGCAGUCGAGAAUCCUUCGCAAUGCAGGAAACUGCGACGAGGGAACUCCAAGUGCCUACGCUCAGCGUAGGCUGUUCUCAAGCCUAGAAAGCUUGUGGAGUAAGGGCUGGGUAAGACGGGUGCCAUCUGUGGUAGCAGUCAAUAGAUUCGAUUUGUUACUGCAAGGCAUAAGCCGCCGCGGUAAUACCCGCAGCCCAAGUGGUGGCCGCUUUUAUUGGGCCUAAAGCGUCCGUAGCCGGCCCGGUAAAUGCCUGGGUAAAUCGUGGAGCCCAACUUCACGAAUUCCGGGUAGACUGCCGAGCUCGGGACCGGAGAGGGAGAGGGUACUUCAGGGGUAGGGGUGAAAAUUUCCUUUCC